rnacentral:rRNA from 1 species
CGUAGUUGGAGUUCAGAUUGAGCUCGGCCGGUCGGCCUAAUUGGUCAGAACUGGUUGACUCUGUCUUGUUUGUGGAUCCCUCCGGAGUUAACUCUUCGGAUGUGGAGUCCACUGUCAUCGUUUACCUUGAAAAAAAUAGAGUGUUCAAAGCAGGCGUUUGCUUGAAUAUAUUAGCAUGGAAUAAUGGAAUAGGACGCUGGUUCUAUUUUGUUGGUUUUGAGAACCAGAGUAAUGA